rnacentral:rRNA from 1 species
UACGUAGGAGGCGAGCGUUGUCCGGAGUUACUGGGCGUAAAGCGCACGCAGGCGGUCUUGUAAGUCUCAGGUGACAGUCCCCGGCUUAACUGGGGAAGUGUCUGGGAAACUGCAAGACUUGAGGGCUUCAGAGGGACAUGGAAUUCCAGGUGGAGUGGUGAAAUGCGUAGAUAUUAGGAAGAACACCGGUGGCGAAGGCGGCCCACUGGCUCGACACUGACGCUGAGGUGCGAAAGCGUGGGGAGCAAACAGG